ACGCUGGUAGUUUAGUGGUAGAAUUCUUGCCUCCUGGGUGGGAAACCUGGGUUUGAUUCCUAGCCAACGCG
rnacentral:tRNA from 1 species